AUCUAGGCUCUUGCAUCGAUGAAGAACGUAGCGAAAUGCGAUACUUGGUGUGAAUUGCAGAAUCCCGUGAACCAUCGAGUCUUUGAACGCAAGUUGCGCCCGAUGCCAUUAGGUUGAGGGCACGUCUGCCUGGGUGUCACAUAUCGAAGCCUCCUGCCAAUAUC
rnacentral:rRNA from 4 species